ACGCUGGCGGCGUGCCUAAUACAUGCAAGUAGAACGCUGAAGGAGGAGCUUGCUUCUCUGGAUGAGUUGCGAACGGGUGAGUAACGCGUAGGUAACCUGCCUGGUAGCGGGGGAUAACUAUUGGAAACGAUAGCUAAUACCGCAUAACAGUAGAUGUUGCAUGAUAUUUGCUUAAAAGGUGCAAUUGCAUCACUACCAGAUGGACCUGCGUUGUAUUAGCUAGUUGGUGGGGUAACGGCUCACCAAGGCGACGAUACAUAGCCGACCUGAGAGGGUGAUCGGCCACACUGGGACUGAGACACGGCCCAGACUCCUACGGGAGGCAGCAGUAGGGAAUCUUCGGCAAUGGACGGAAGUCUGACCGAGCAACGCCGCGUGAGUGAAGAAGGUUUUCGGAUCGUAAAGCUCUGUUGUAAGAGAAGAACAGGUGUGAGAGUGGAAAGUUCACACUGUGACGGUAUCUUACCAGAAAGGGACGGCUAACUACGUGCCAGCAGCCGCGGUAAUACGUAGGUCCCGAGCGUUGUCCGGAUUUAUUGGGCGUAAAGCGAGCGCAGGCGGUUAGAUAAGUCUGAAGUUAAAGGCUGUGGCUUAACCAUAGUACGCUUUGGAAACUGUUUAACUUGAGUGCAAGAGGGGAGAGUGGAAUUCCAUGUGUAGCGGUGAAAUGCGUAGAUAUAUGGAGGAACACCGGUGGCGAAAGCGGCUCUCUGGCUUGUAACUGACGCUGAGGCUCGAAAGCGUGGGGAGCAAACAGGAUUAGAUACCCCUGGUAGUCCACGCCGUAAACGAUGAGUGCUAGGUGUUAGACCCUUUCCGGGGUUUAGUGCCGCAGCUAACGCAUUAAGCACUCCGCCUGGGGAGUACGACCGCAAGGUUGAAACUCAAAGGAAUUGACG
rnacentral:rRNA from 1 species